CAGUGACACGGUUAGGGAGACUGGCUAAUUUUGGAGGUCUGGCUGUAGGACUGGGUUUGGAGCACUGGCUGAGGUAGCCAUGAAGAGUAUGAGGCCAACUGACAAGACUGUUCUGGACUCCAGUCCGUUCCUAUCAGAGGCUAACGCAGAGCGGAUCGUCAGGACACUGUGUAAGGUCCGUGGCGCUGCACUCAAACUGGGACAGAUGCUCAGCAUUCAAGAUGAUGCCUUCAUCAACCCCCAGCUGGCCAAGAUAUUUGAGCGUGUGAGACAGAGUGCAGACUUCAUGCCCAUCAAGCAGAUGACGAAAUCCAUCAACAACGACCUUGGCCCUAACUGGAGGGACAAGCUGGAUUCGUUUGAGGAGCGGCCGUUUGCUGCGGCCUCCAUCGGACAGGUCCAUCUGGCUAAGAUGAAGGAUGGCAGGGAGGUGGCCAUGAAGAUCCAGUACCCCGGAGUGGCUAAAAGCAUCGACAGUGACGUCAACAACCUGAUGACUCUCCUCACCAUGAGCAACGCACUGCCUGAAGGUCUCUUCCCUGAGCAUCUGAUUGAGGUGAUGAGCAGAGAGCUGGCACUGGAAUGUGAUUACAUAAGAGAGGCCAAAUGUGCCAAGAAAUUCCAGGAGCUGCUGAAAGACCACCCGUUCUUCUACGUACCAGACGUAAUAGACGAGCUGAGCAGCAACGCCGUCCUCACCACAGAGCUGGUCCCCGGCUUCCCCUCUGGACCAGGCUGAACAACUCUCCCAGGAACUCAAAAACGAGAUCUGUGAGAAUAUCCUGAAACUUUGUUUAAGGGAGCUGUUUGAGUUCAGAUACAUGCAGACUGACCCCAACUGGUCCAACUUCUUCUACGACCCACAGACACACAGAGUUGCGUUGUUGGAUUUCGGAGCCACAAGAGGAUUUAGUGAGGACUUCACUGACAUUUACAUUGAGCUCAUCAAGUCAGCAGCAGAGGGAGACAGAGAGGGGGUUCGGAAGAGAUCAGUAGACAUGAAGUUCCUCACAGGUUAUGAGUCAAAGUCCAUGGUGAAUGCCCAUGUGGACGCGGUGAUGAUCCUGGGCGAGGCCUUUGCCUCCACGGAGCCUUUUAACUUCGGAGCCCAGAGCACCACGGAGCGCAUCCACAACCUGAUCCCUGUGAUGCUGAAGCAGCGCCUCACCCCGCCCCCCGAGGAGACCUACUCCCUCCACCGCAAGAUGGGCGGCUCCUUCCUCAUCUGCUCCCGCCUUGACGCCAAGCUCGGCUGCAAGAACAUGUUCCAGGAGGCCUAUAACAACUACUGGAGGGACCGCCCCCAACCGACCAAGCCAGUGACGGACACCGCAGAGGGCCAAUCGCAGGGCUACAGCAGCAGGGUUAGAGAGGAUGUGUGGACUAUAAGGGGAGGGAUAUUGACCCUAGCCAGACUUGCUCUGCUGUUAAUGUUAUGUAUAUGGAUGGCAUUUUUUUCCUCGUCCCUCCCCCGAACCAGAAUCUGUGUUUAUGUAUGUGUGUGUGUGUGUGUGUGUGUAUGUAUAUGUAUAUUUUUUUGUGUGUGUGUGCAUGUGUUAUUAGGAGUAUAUUAACCAUGGCUGUCCAGUUAACAUAUUCACAAGAUGUAUCAGAUGGUUGGUUGUAUAGGUUGAGUUAACUGGGAUAAAUGCCAUGAUGUGUGUCUGAGAGAGAAUUGUAAAGCUAUUGUGAAAUCAAGACAGUUGGUUUCUUGUGACGUGGGGAUAUGAUACUGUCUAAUGGGCAUAAAACCAGUGGUCAUGAUGAGACAAGUUAAAUAUGUUGAAGAACAGAUAAUAUACUGUUAAUGACCCAUAUUCUCCAGCAUGUGGCAGUAGUUCUAAUGUCCUAUGAGGACAAAACAAAUGAUAAUAUGAUGCAUACAGAAGUCUAAAAGGACGUUUUUCAAGUUUUUAGUCGCACUUAUGCAUAGUGCACACAUUACCAGGGUACAGACCAAUUCCUGUUGAGGGGGAGGAUUUGAGGACAAUCUCCUGUUAAGCCUAUCCCUAUAAACACAUUACAUUUGGGCCACCUGAAAUAUCAUAAUAGAUUUAUCAAUGAUAUGCACUGUCAAAACAUUAUUGCACUGUGUCAAGACACACUUAUUUCUGCAAGGUGGAGAUGGUUGAUGGAUGGAUCAUUGGACAUGGCCUUACUUCCAGUGCCUGAGGAAAUAAGAACAUGUAUUCUCAUUGACUGAUCUACUUUACCAUGGGCCUGUAGCACCAAAAUGGAGUGUUUUGGCACCAAAGUGUUCUUCCUGUGGCCUGGUGGGCUUAUGACAUUUUGACUAUAGUGUCGUUUAUUAACAGUGGGGAGUGACAACAGCAGGUUUUGCAUCAGUUGACAAAACUAUCAUACUAAGUAUCAAAACCGUGCUGUUUUGUCAUAAAAGCCUGUCUUUACUUUGUGAUGAAACGAUGGUUGAGGCAAGAGAAAAGUGAUCCUAAAUCACUUUUUUUGUGUGAAAAUAUAGUAUUUCUAUAUGCCUAUAGUAUUUCUAGAAGUUUGUUUAGAAAUGAAUGCCGCUAUGCAUCUUUAUAUUGAUAUCAGAAGAAGAGUUUAAAAAAAAAUAUGAUUAGUUUUUCUAAGCAAUGACAUUCUUACCAAGGGUUGUGAUUAAUAUGAAAAUAUAAACAUUUUGACUCAACACUUGCCCUAA